UUCUUUCUUCCUCUCCCCAACUCUGCUCUCUCUCUCUCUCACACACACACACACACGAGAGAGAGAGAGAGAGAGAGAGAGAGAGAGAGAGAGAGAG